GCGCAGCAGGCGCGAAUUUUUCACAAUGGGGGAAACCCUGAUGGAGCGACGCCGCGUGGAGGAUGAAGGCCUUUUGGUCGUAAACUCCUGUCAAACGGGAACAAGAAAGUGAUAGUACCGUUAGAGGAAGAGACGGCUAACUCUGUGCCAGCAGCCGCGGUAAUACAGAGGUCUCAAGCGUUGUUCGGAUUCAUUGGGCGUAAAGGGUGCGUAGGUGGCAUGGUAAGUUGAAGGUGAAAUCUCGGAGCUUAACUCCGAAACUGCCUUCAAUACUGCUGUGCUUGAGGACUGUAGAGGAGAAUGGAAUUCAUGGUGUAGCAGUGAAAUGCGUAGAUAUCAUGAGGAAGACCAGUGGCGAAGGCGAUUCUCUGGGCAGUUCCUGACACUGAGGCACGAAGGCUAGGGGAGCAAACGGGAUUAGAUACCCCUGUAGU
rnacentral:rRNA from 1 species